GUGAGUUUCGUACACUUAAUUA
rnacentral:miRNA from 15 species